ACCUACUCAUUUUGCUUUGCUUUCAG
rnacentral:piRNA from 1 species